rnacentral:tRNA from 1 species
GGAGGUUGUCCGGCAUGGACGAGGACAGCGUCUUGAAAACGCCUGCGGCUAACAACCGUCAAGGGUUCGAUUCCCUUAGCCUCCG